UAAGUUGUGAGUGUGUGUCAGUGUGUGUGUGCAUGCGUAUAUAUAUAUAUAUAUAUAUAUAUAUAUAUAUACAUAUAUAUAUAUAUUUACACACACAUUUACACACACACACACACAC
rnacentral:miRNA from 1 species